CCCAUCAGAGUUCAGUUUAAUCAAACCUGUUCAGGAGGAGACAAGCAGCAAUGUCACAGCCCAAGGAAGAGGGUUCCUCGUCAUCAUCAGUCUGGGUGCUGGUUCCCUUUUCCUGGUUCUGCUAGCUGGGUCUGUGCUGUGUGUUCUCCAACGCAAGUGUGGGGUUCAAGGCAGGCCUGUAAAUACUGG